AAGUCGUAACAAGGUUUCCGUAGGUGAACCUGCGGAAGGAUCAUUAAAAAAAAAAAUUAAUUAUAUUGAUUAUAAAUUAUUAUAAUAAUAUUCUUUAUUUAAAAAAAAAAUUAUUUCUUUGUGAACUGUGUUUUAGUUUAUUUUGGUUUAGUUUUUUUAAAUAAAAAUUAAAUUAUUAUACACUAAUACAAAAAAAAAUAUAAAAAAAACUGUGAGAGAAUUAUAUUGUUUCAUUAAAAUUUAACCUUAAAAUUAAUUUAAUUUAAUAUUUAUUUAUUUUUACAACCUUUAACAAUGGAUCUCUUGGUUCCU
rnacentral:misc_RNA from 1 species